rnacentral:rRNA from 1 species
ACGUAGGGUGCAAGCGUUAAUCGGAAUUACUGGGCGUAAAGCGUGCGCAGGCGGUUGGGUAAGACAGAUGUGAAAUCCCCGGGCUUAACCUGGGAACUGCAUUUGUGACUGUCCGACUGGAGUACGUCAGAGGGGGGUGGAAUUCCGCGUGUAGCAGUGAAAUGCGUAGAUAUGCGGAAGAACACCGAUGGCGAAGGCAGCCCCCUGGGACGCAACUGACGCUCAUGCACGAAAGCGUGGGGAGCAAACAG